ACGUAGGGUCCGAGCGUUGUCCGGAAUUACUGGGCGUAAAGCGCGCGCAGGCGGUCUGGUCAGUCGAUGGUGAAAGCCCCACGCUCAACGUGGGAAGGUCCGUCGAGACGGCCAGACUGGAGGCAGGGAGAGGUCGGUGGAAUUCCGGGUGUAGUGGUGAAAUGCGUAGAGAUCCGGAGGAACACCAGAGGCGAAGGCGGCCGACUGGACCUGACCUGACGCUGAGGCGCGAAGGCGUGGGGAGCGAACGG
rnacentral:rRNA from 1 species